rnacentral:pre_miRNA from 1 species
AGUGCUCCCUCCGUCUCAAAAUUCUUGUCUUAGCUUUUUCUUGAAAUGGAUGUAUCUAAAUAUUAAAACUUGACUAGAUACAUUCAUAUCUAAACAAAUUUAAGACAAUAAUUUUGGGACGGAGGGAGUAUGUG